UUCCGGUGAAGAAUGAAGCUGGUGGUGUCGAUUUCUUUUUGACCGUUUUACUCAGACAUCGGUUCUGGCCAUAUAUCGAUAAUAACUACAACUAUGCCUUAAUUUUUACUUUAAAUGUUAAUUUUUGAAAGUAUUGCAAACGAAUAUUCAAUUCUAUAAAUGUAAUUUACUCCGAAAAAAUCGUAUGCAUCACAGUCCAACGUGAUUGCACUGUUUUCGUCGUUGUUGACAUCAAUUCCGAUUCAACAACAGCAUGAAUAUGGACGGCACCAUGUAUCAAUCAUACGGCACUGGACUGACGCCGCAACACCAGCAGAGUCCAAUGAUGUCACCAGCUCUAGGGGGAUUUGGUCAUGGACUUACCCCAAAUCCAGUUAUGCCUCCAUCAAAUGCUCCCAGUCUGUAUCCUCCGACCCCAACACCUGGCGGACCUAUGACAGCCCCAAUGACCCCAAUAUCACCUGCUACCCCGGCGUCAGAAGCGGCUAGUCUCAUGCCACUGAGGCCACAAUUACAAAAUAUUGUUUGUACUGUAAACUUGGGAUGCAAGUUAGAUCUGAAAAAAAUUGCACUACAUGCAAGAAAUGCAGAGUACAAUCCAAAACGUUUUGCUGCUGUUAUUAUGAGAAUUCGAGACCCUCGGACCACUGCUCUGAUCUUCAGUUCUGGAAAAAUGGUUUGCACAGGAGCCAAAAGUGAGGAACAGGCAAAGUUAGCAGCGAGGAAAUAUGCAAGAAUUGUACAAAAGCUUGGUUUUCCAGCAAAAUUUCUGGAUUUUAAGAUCCAAAAUAUGGUGGGAAGCUGUGAUGUGAAAUUUCCUAUCCGCUUGGAGGGAUUAGUGCUGAGUCAUGGCCAGUUCUCCACCUAUGAACCUGAGUUGUUCCCAGGAUUAAUCUACCGAAUGGUCAAGCCUAGAAUAGUGUUGCUGAUAUUUGUCUCAGGGAAAGUUGUGUUGACAGGUGCCAAAGUGAGAGAAGAAAUCUAUGAAGCUUUUGACAACAUCUAUCCCAUACUGAAGGGAUUCAAGAAGCAAUAGUAUCGAACAGCAGUCCCUGUUAUCAUUGUACAUAUUGUCAAUCAUUCAUUCCAUCAUUUUGUUUCAUCAUCAUUAAUAAUUAUUUUCUACAUGCAAGAUGUCAAAUUUAGGUAAUAGAUUUGCCAGUAUACGAGAAUUUUACCUAACAUUUUGAAUGAAGGCAUGAAAGAUAAAGUUAUUGGAAAUAAAAAAAAAACAUUAUUUGGUGGCAUACUAGCUUAAGAAGUUGCUCACUGUACGGUAGGUAGGUUGGUAGUUUUCAAUAUUUGAUACUGUAUAGUAAAUACAUUUUAAUUAUGGUUCAUGUGAAAAGUAUUAAAUGUCAUCCUUUCCAUACUUGUUAGAAAUAUUUUGCUGUAUACCGGAAAAAUUUUGCCCAGUCAAAUAUUCGCCCUCCACUGGUAAAAUGUGUAUUCGCUCAGUGUAAUGUUGUCCUACGCAUACAGUUACUAUGUAGAGUAAGCUGUAUACUAUAUAUACAUGAUACAUUUGCUCUUACUGUGGAAGACGAAAAAGGUGAAAAUAAAACUGCAGUGAAAUUUUUCCAGUUUACAGUUUAUAAAGUCUGUGAGGAGGUGAUAAUAUAGCAUGAUCAUGGUGCCUUUUGUAAGUAAUAAUGCAAGCGAGUGCGAAAUUUGACAGGAGUCGUAGGGUUGAUAUUAUUUUCUGAAACCGUCACCUGUUUGGAAUAUUGAGAGGCAUUUUUCUGUCACAGACACAGUCACUUUGGUAAGUGUGUAUGUGUAAAGAUUUGAGUUCUCUAUAUCACAGACAGUGACUUUAUGGAAGGUAUAUAUAGUUGUAACUUGUGUAUGUGCCGAGUUUCAGUUUCUGUAUAUAUGUAAAGAUGUGAGUUCUCUAUAUCACAGACAGUGACUUUAUGGAAGGUAUAUAUAGUUGUUACUGUGUAUGUGCCGAGUUUCAGUUUCUGUAUAUAUGUAAAGAUGUGAGUUCUCUAUAUCACAGACAGUGACUUUAUGGAAGGUAUAUAUAGUUGUUACUGUGUAUGUGCCAUGUUUCAGUUUCUGUAUAUAUGUAAAGAUUUGAGUUCACUCUAUCACAGAAAUUACAUAUGGUCUUUAUCAAACCUGCUGAAGUAUGUAAUUUAUUUUUUGAUAUUUGGAUGCAAUGAUAAAGGACGACCUGCUUAUGUUCCAGUAUGCAAACUGAAGAUUGGUUGGGGAACAUAAUCAAACCAGCAGAAACAAAAUAUAUUUUGAGUUAAAAUAAGAAUUUUACGAUACGUGUACUUCCUACAUGUACCUUACCUUGUGACAUGUGACACCUUUCCAAACAUCUCCAAAGAUACUUAUCAAAAGCAUUUUAUGAGAGAUUAUUUAUUUGAUUAAAUGAUUAAUUGAUUUAUGACACAUUCGAAAGGUACACAAGAGUUGAUAACACAUUUAAAAGGUACCCAAGAAUUUAUGACACAAUUUAAGGUACACAAGAAUUGACCACACAUUUAAAAGGUACACAAGCACUGGUGAAAAUACACAAGAGUUGGUGACGCAUUUAAAAGGUACACACGUUUGAUUUUAUGCAGUUUUAAAACUCAUGUAAUUCUUAUAUGACUAUUAAGACAUGAAUAUACGUGUACAUAAUGGGUGUAGAGAAAAGGAAUUUUAAAAAGAAAAGUAGGCAGAGUAUAGGCAUAUGGAAAAUAGCCUAAUAGAUUAUACUAAUUAUAUAAUGUGUACAUCUUUAAGGAAGAUGUUAACCGUGCUCAAACACAAGUCUCAUAUUUAAUAACUGCUACACGGUUUAUUUAGAGUACACUCCGUUUUUUUGUGUUAUAUCUCCAUAACAUGAAAAAUAUAUUUAAGUUAAUCCUUAU
rnacentral:misc_RNA from 1 species